UACGUAGGCAGCGAGCGUUGUUCGGAAUUACUGGGCGUAAAGAGUGUGUAGGCGGUGCUCUAAGUUCGGUGUGAAAUCUCCUGGCUCAACUGGGAGGGUGCGCCGGAAACUGGAGUGCUUGAGCGUGGGAGAGGAAAGCGGAAUUCCUGGUGUAGCGGUGAAAUGCGUAGAUAUCAGGAGGAACACCUGUGGUGUAGACGGCUUUCUGGACCGGUUCUGACACUGAGGAGCGAAAGCGUGGGGAGCGAUCCGG
rnacentral:rRNA from 1 species